rnacentral:lncRNA from 1 species
CAUUUCAAGAAACAAUAAUAUUUUGAGUACAUUGAUGAAUAUAUGUUAAUUUUAUUUUAUUUUGUCUCAAUUCAGUUAACAAUUUGAUUUUGUAAUUAUGUCUUUCAAGUGAUGAUGACAUGGUUUGAGGGAUUUGUAUGUGGUAGGAAUUUAAAAGUUAGGUUAGAACUUUAACAUUUUAUUUGGUAUUCACACUAUAGAAUUCCUCACUCGAACCAUGAUGAAUAGUUUUAAAUAGAAAAACAUUAGAUUCAGCACUCAAAUAUUUUUUUUAAAACUCAAUUGAGUAAGAAACCAAAUUAAUCUUAUCUUCUCUAAAAGUUUUGGUUCUUCAAAGUUCCUUGAAACACUUAGCAAACUAAAUCAUUUUUUUUUCCUCUAAUAAAAUAUCAUUCAAGUAUUGAUUUUUGUAGCUUUUACAAAAAAAAAAGUUAAUGUUUAUUAUCUCCUUUCUUAAAUGAUUAAUAUGUUAGUUUAAGAUAACAAUGAAAGAAUGAUGUGUUGUAGUAAUAUUGUUGUAUUAAUUGGGAUUACAUCGUAUGAGUAUAAAUUGAGUAAUAUGUUGAUAGAUUUAGAUAAGAAAUAUUUGAUACAUAGGAUGAUAUUUUAGGCAAGUUGUAUUUUUUUUAUUAGCAAGAAACAACUAAAAUAAAUUGGUCCACUUAAGAAGUGUCCAACCCUCAUAUAGAGUAAGAAUGAACAAAAGUAUAUUUUCAACUACACAAUUAAAAUCAUAAAGAGUUUAUCUCCUACUGCCUUCCCCAACACUACCAACUAAAGAAGAAUCAUUAAAUUGAAUACAUACAUAAUGAUUCUAAACAUCACUCAGAGAACGAAAAAUUCACUAAGGGUAUCUUUGAAACGAUUCAAGACCAAACAUUAACCUGUAAUAGGAAAAAACUUCAUAAAACAAGUUGUAUUUUAUGAUACUAAAUUUUAGAUUCUAUUAAUAAUUUUUAGUCAAAUAAUAACUAAUUAAUUUUUGUUCGUAUGUAUUAAGAUAUUAAGCGAUAAUAAAUUUUUGCAAUUUGUAGAGGUGAAAUGUGAAUAUGAAAGAGUUUAUGAAUGUAUUAAAAAAUUUAGAAUAUUUAAUUAAAUAAUGUGUGUAUGCAUAAUUAUGAGUUAUGAUUCAUUGAAUUACUUUUAAAUUUGUUUUAUGAUUAACCAUUUUUAUAAUCCUUCUUAAUUAACAUCUCCAUGUUUAUUAUGUGUAUGUAUAUCUACAGUAAAAAACAAGUUACAAUAAUUAGUAAUAUGAUAUUUCAGACUUCUAACGAACCACUAAUAAAUUAGUCUUCUAGAUGCAACUAAAUAUUUUCUUAAACAAACCAUAUUAUAAAUACAAGUUGUGUCUGAAUAAAAAAAAAAUAACAAGAGUAGAGUUUUAUCUGUGUUGUUAACGUAAAGAAAUACAAAACAAAACCUGCACAUACCUGGUCGUUACAUAUUCCAACAACAAGGGUAAAAACCUGCAAAUCGAUCCACACAAAGCAUCCUUACUUUCAAUUUGUCACAUGAACACAUCUUAGAAUGAUUCCAAACAAAAUUAAAACUCUUGCAAGAUCAAAACUCUGCACUGAUCCACUGUUUGAGAGAAAGGUAUCCAAAGUUAUGAAGACUCAGAAAAUAUAUUUGUUUUUUUCCUAACUGAUCACUCAGAUCUCAAGGAGAAUGUAGUAGAAUGGUAGAUGAAGAGUUGAAUCCCAAGAGUUAAACAAUAUUCUCAGAUCUUCAUCUUGAAGGAAGGAAAAAAAAAAAAAAAAUUGGUUGGUUGGUUGCAUCUGCUGCAUGCAUUCCAUGGAAGAAGAGACCAAUGGACAAGGAAAGAGACAGGCGUUUGAGUUGCCCAAGUUUUCUAGCAAGUGCAUGUGUAUUAUUAUACCAGGAGUGGUAUAAAAAUUAUUAUAAUAGAAUAUUAUAAUAAUAAAAAAUAAAAAGAAAAUUGAUGAAUGUUGGAAAGAGGAGGAGCAUAAGGGAGAGAAGAUAAAGAACACGCGCCGGGUGGAUGUAUGCAUGGGGUGAGUGAGUGAAUGAGGAGUGGGACCCGCAGGGAAUGAAAAGGAGAAAGAGAAGCGCGUGAGUAGAUGAAAAACACGACAAGAAGAAGAACAGGAAGAGGAACAUAGAACAAGAAGUACCCAGAUUGAGAUUUGGAUUGAAUUGUGAGUAGUGUGACCUUUGC